AUGGCUCAGGAUGAACGCUGGCGGCGUGCAUAACACAUUCAAGUCGAACGAAGCACUGAGACGGAAGUCCGUUCGGGACGGAAGACUCUUGACUUAGUGGCGGACGGGUGAGUAACGCGUGAGCAACCUGCCUGUGAUAGAGGGAUAACACCCGGAAACGAGUGCUAAUACCACAUGAGGCGCAGAUAUCGCAUGGUGACUGCGUUAAAGAUUUAUCGAUCGCAGAUGGGCUCGCGUAUGAUUAGGCAGUUGGUGAGGCAACGGCUCACCAAACCGACGAUCAUUAGCCGAACUGAGAGGUUGAACGGCCACAUUGGAACUGAGAAACGGUCCAGACUCCUACGGGAGGCAGCAGUGGGGAAUAUUGGGCAAUGGGCGAAAGCCCUGACCCAGCGACGCCGCGUGAGGGAAGAAGGUCUUCGGAUUGUAAACCUCUUUCAGUAGGGAAGAAGAAAGUGACGGUACCUACAGAAGAAGUCACGGCUAACUACGUGCCAGCCGCAGC
rnacentral:rRNA from 1 species